UUUUUUUUUUUUUUUCUGUUUUGCUUUUUCAUAUCAUAUAUUUUUAUUUGUAUGUUAUCUAUACAACCGCCGACUACAACCACGUGUGUCUUACACCGCCUCUAACAUCCAAUACCGUACCGGCGGGUUUCCAUCACCGCCUCGAUUUCUUUCGUCCACCGAUCGUUUCCUUCUUUUCUUCUCCAGUUUCUCAUUCUUUCCAGAAACCUCCGGUUGCUUCUCACAAGCAUUCCCACCCCACCGCUUCUCUUUGCUCCGCCUCCCAUUGACGUCUAACAAAUUAUCCCUUCAUAUUCUUACCCAUCAAUGUAGGUGAAAUCCCUAGCAAUAGUUCCAUGAUUAGGCCCUUCAAAGAUAGAAAUCUACUUUCGAUUGAAAGAUAGAAAUCUACUUUGGUGAAAAAGAAAUAUGCCAUGUCAGGUCUACCCGAAGGUCCAUAAACAGUGAAAAAUCGCAAACCAGUAAUUGAUAGAUCGUAGAUAUGAUUGUAAGCAUGAGCGAUUUUUUCACCGGAUUUCUUUGUGGCGGCGUAAAGGGUCACCGGUUGAUCGGUUCGAUCGAAGAGAGAGAGAGAGAGACGACGAAGAGGGUGAGGUCGAUUUAUUCGACUGAUACCGAUUGCGCUUUACAGAUUUUGUGAUUGAUUUGUUUGUCUCUGGUGAGCCGGAUCUUCCACCGCCUCCGUUUCAAGUAUCAGAUCCACCCAAAGAUGUUCUAUUUUUCGAUCACCUGCACAACAACUGAGGGUCACUUAAGUUAUAGCUGUGUCAUAAUUAAAGUUCAUGAAUUGGCUCUGUGAAAUUGGAGCUGGCGUCUGUGACAUGAUGAAUGGGUGCUUAUUUAGCAUGUUGAAUGUUGGAUUUUGUCCUGGCAAUGGGAGCUUUUAUAGAACCAGCGGGAUGGUAGUAGCAGCCCUGUUCAACUCUUUAAGGAAAAGGGUCCAUGGGAGAUGGAUGCUCAUGAAAGAGUCGAAGCAGCUGGGAAGAAUAAAGAAGAAGGAAAUAUUCUUUGUAGGUGCUUUCAAUUCACCAAUCUAUUUUACCGUUGAAAGUUUCUUGCUGUUUUGGAAUAAUUUCAGUUGUUGAACUUUUAUUUCUGGCUUGAGCGCUGGUGUCCUUAUUAGUGGUUGUAUAAUUGUAUUGGGGUGCUGAUAUUUUGAGCCUCCUUAUUUGAUCUCAUAACAAACGGUUGAAUUGAAAUCUAACCCCGCAAAGCGGGGACACUUCCCU